GGUCAUUAUGGAAUUAUAGUUCCCUUGCUUAAUGAUUUUACAAAAUUGCUUGGCAAUCCAACAAAGAGAAGGAGCACAAUGUGGUGAAUGCAGGCUAAUUAAACCAAUAAUUGCUUCCUGUUGUGCUCCCAGAUAAUGUGCCCCUGAUAAUUUUAAAUGAAGUCUUGAAGCUGACUUCUUGAAUGAAAUGCUGUGCUAGUUAAAGCUUCACUAACUUUCUGUGUGCUUAGAAACUGGCCUACUUCUCAAGGUCCCUUGCAUUUCUCAGACAAAUAUUGCUAUGACUUAGGAGAAGAUGCAAACUUCUAUGUACCUCAGGAAUGCUAGCUUGAAUCUAGAGUAACUCCAUUGGGAUUUACCACAGCUUUUUGAGUUAUAUCUGUGUCAAAUGCAAAGUAUGUGACUGUUGACUGGCAGCUAUGUUUAGAACUUGGGAAAUAAUUCAUGAAGUCCCCAAGAAUUUCAAGGUGAUCUUCAAAGUGAUCUGAAGAAUAAUUUGGAAACUUUUAAUAUGGAAUUUGGAGGAAGAGUCUUUAGCAGUUAAUCAGGUAUUUUAAGUAGGCAAAGGUAGGAGAAGAAAGGGAGAAGAGGAAAGAAGAUGUUGUGAAGCGACAGAAGAUGGUAUGACAUAAGAGGAUGAACAGAUGUCUUCAAGAUUUACCAGUCAGUUUUGGAAAGAUUGGUUUCUUACUACUCCGAAUCUACCCAAUGAGGGAAAAGAACAGUGGAACCAGUGUUUUGUUUGGGUCCUGUCCUAUGAAGCUAGACAAGCAGGCCAACAAUCCUUCUCAGCCUUUCAUUAAAAAUGUCAACAGAAUGAUGAAUCAUUUGGAAUUGUUUUGAUGAUACUGUGUCAACACCUUCUGCAGAGUAAAUGUUUUAUGUGUACACCUUAUUUAUUUAUUUCUUAGAUCUAACUGCAAUUCUGAAUUUCACUAGAAAGAGAUUGUAUGUUCUUAUAGCUGUACUUCUCGAUGAAGGGAAUUAUUGAUCUUUCAUUUUCAUGGACAAGUAUAUAAAAAUAAUUGUAGAAUUCAAUACUGCAUAAUUAUAUUUAUCACUAAGCCUGAUGUGGCUUAUU
rnacentral:lncRNA from 1 species